AAGAGAGGAGAGCUCAGCGAGAAGGACCGCGUUGGAGAAGCAGGGCACGUGCAUGCAUGCAACUAGAGCUUAGCUAGUGUCAAUUCUUCCAUCUCUUGUGCCUGGCCGGGAUCGAUCUUAUAUACCGAGCUUAAUUUGGCACCUAUUGGAUGCUGCAUGCAUGUGUUCUUCUCCUCCAUCACGGUCUUCAUUUCUCUCGCUUUCUUUAC